CUUAGGGGUCAGGAGAAGUGACUUUUAGUUCUCCCUACUAACAAACUUUGAUCCUGAACAAGUCAGUAACCUUGACAAACAAAAAACAAAAAAAUUAUUUUUUCUUCUAACAAAUGAGGCAAAAUUAGGUAAUUCUGGUUUUUUGUUUGUUUGUUUGUUUUUGAGACGGAGUUUCGUUCUUGUUGCCCAGUCUGGAGUGCAAUGGUGCAAUCUCAGCUACCUGCAACCUCCGCCUCCCGGGUUCAAGCAUUUCUCUGCCUCAGUAGCUGGGAUUACAGUCAUAGGCCACCACGCAUGGCUACUUUUAGUAUUUUUAGUAGAGACGGGGAUUUGCCAUGUUGGUCAGGCUGGUCUCGAAUUCCUGACCUCAGGUGAUCCACCCUCCUCGGCCUCCCAAAGUGCAGGAUUACAGGAGAGAGCCACCGCGCUAGGCCAAAAUUAUGUAAUUCUUGAAGAUCCUUCCUGAGUGCAAGAUCAAGUUAGGACAGAGGAACAGCAAAUAACAAGAUGGGGUGAUGGACAUGACUGGAGGGCAGUUCGAAACCUAAAGAGGAUGAACGCAGAACGGGCAACAGAGUCCGUAUGUCGGGCGGGCGACUGCACCCGCCCUUUCCUACCCAGGUAGGGCCGCGCCCUAGCACAUGGGCGUAAACACGCUCAACCAGAGAACUGCCCCUCCCGCAAGGCUCAGCGCUCGGACCGCGCAAGCGCACAUGCCCUCCUCCGCGGCCCCUACAAACAGGGCAACGCACAGGGCGUAGCCCGCUCCCUACAGAGGCUGCGCCUUAGAGGAACUGGCGUAGCGUCCUGGUAGACAUGCUGCAGCCCCGCCGUCCCCGGCUUCUCCGUGAGGUCCCCGGGACUCCUCGCCACCACCUGGCACUGGCCCCCGGCUGCCUGCUCCUGGAGUCGCGCGGGGCCCCCUCUCCGUCCCUGCCCAACCCGCGGAGGCUUACCUCACUCUCUCUUCGGGUUGCAUUCGCCAUAAGAGAGCCGGUAGACCCCUGAAAUCCCGGGACCGCCUCCCACGCAAAACGUGAGACAAACAAAAGGAAAGGCGGAAACGCAGAAACGCAGAGGUAGCCAGUGGAUGAGGCAUGCGCAGAGCCCACGCUCAAAGCCUGGCGCUGUUGGCGCCCAACCUGGAAACUACCUUUCCCACGGAGUCUAGCUCUGUCACCAGGCUGGAGCACAGUGGCAUGAUCUCGACUCACUGCAACCUCCACUGAAGAAGGAAUUCAUGAAUUUUACAAGUAUAAUCAAAGACCACCAAGAAAUUUUUACUUUUUCCUUCAAAAGCUAAGUGUAGUGUAGCACCCCCUGCCCAUAGUCUAAGUUACAGAAGAAUACUAACUGCCUGUUUUUCUUUCUGUGUUGUGAGCCUUAUCUGUUCUCACCAGUUUCACAUUCCUUGAGGCUCAGUGAGUUCCUGCGCACCUCCCUAGCACAGCUGCAAAGUUACAAGGUUGAUAUGCAUAUGUUACAGAAACAUAGUUUCCCAAGGAUGUGGAACAUGUAGUAUAGAUAAAUGUAAAAGACUGAUCAACUGCCUUUGUUCUCGCUUGUGUAAGUAGACUUCAUGAAUCACAUAGCUCCCGGCCACUGACUGCUUAAAAGGUGGCUGCAUUCUUUCUCCAGGGCUCAGACUUUCCUGGACGCUAGUCCUACUGAGCCAGGUGAUCCCCUUAAUAAAGGCUUUCCUGAACUCU
rnacentral:lncRNA from 1 species